CCUACGGGUGGCAGCAGUGAGGAAUAUUGGUCAAUGGACGAGAGUCUGAACCAGCCAAGUAGCGUGAAGGAUGACUGCCCUAUGGGUUGUAAACUUCUUUUAUAUGGGAAUAAAAUGUUCCACGUGUGGGAUUUUGUAUGUACCAUAUGAAUAAGGAUCGGCUAAUUCCGUGCCAGCAGCCGCGGUAAUACGGAGGAUCCGAGCGUUAUCCGGAUUUAUUGGGUUUAAAGGGAGCGUAGGUGGAUUGUUAAGUCAGUUGUGAAAGUUUGCGGCUCAACCGUAAAAUUGCAGUUGAAACUGGCAGUCUUGAGUACAGUAGAGGUGGGCGGAAUUCGUGGUGUAGCGGUGAAAUGCUUAGAUAUCACGAAGAACUCCGAUUGCGAAGGCAGUUCACUGGACUGCAACUGACACUGAGGCUCGAAAGUGUGGGUAUCAAACAGGAUUAGAUACCCUUGUAGUC
rnacentral:rRNA from 1 species